GUAGUCCACGCCGUAAACGAUGUCGACUAGCCGUUGGGAACCUUAGAGUUUCUUGUGGCGCAGCUAACGCGAUAAGUCGACCGCCUGGGGAGUACGGCCGCAAGGUUAAAACUCAAAUGAAUUGACGGGGGCCCGCACAAGCGGUGGAGCAUGUGGUUUAAUUCGAUGCAACGCGAAGAACCUUACCACCCCUUGACAUCCUGCGAACUUUCUAGAGAUAGAUUGGUGCCUUCGGGAGCGCAGAGACAGGUGCUGCAUGGCUGUCGUCAGCUCGUGUUGUGAAAUGUUGGGUUAAGUCCCGUAACGAGCGCAACCCUUGUCCUUAGUUGCCAGCGAGUAAUGUCGGGAACUCUAAGGAGACUGCCGGUGACAAACCGGAGGAAGGUGGGGACGACGUCAAGUCAUCAUGGCCCUUACGGGGUGGGCUACACACGUGCUACAAUGGCCGGUACAGACGGUUGCAAACCCGCGAGGGGGAGCCAAUCCGAGAAGACCGGUCGUAGUCCGGAUUGCAGUCUGCAACUCGACUGCAUGAAGUCGGAAUCGCUAGUAAUCGCGGAUCAGCAUGCCGCGGUGAAUA
rnacentral:rRNA from 1 species